rnacentral:rRNA from 1 species
UACGGGGGGGGCAAGCGUUGUUCGGAAUUACUGGGCGUAAAGGGUUCGUAGGUGGCUUGCUAAGUCAGACGUGAAAUCCCUCAGCUUAACUGGGGAACUGCGUCUGAUACUGGCGAGCUUGAGUGCAGGAGAGGAACGCAGAAUUCCAGGUGUAGCGGUGAAAUGCGUAGAUAUCUGGAGGAACACCGGUGGCGAAGGCGGCUCACUGGCCCGGUACUGACGCUCAUGUGCGAAAGCGUGGGGAGCAAACAGG